rnacentral:lncRNA from 1 species
AAUAUUUGAAUUUGCAGCUUAAAUUUUAUAGCUAAAAAUAGAUGGUGUUGUAGUGAAUAAAAGACUCAAAAUCUUUCAUCUUCUAAUCCAUUAUUCUGUUCUCUCUAAAACUAUAUGGAAAAACCUUUAGGAAAAAUCAAAGUAGAAGACUCUCUAUUCUAAUUCUUUCAAUCUUUUUCAAGAUUAUUCUUCAAGGUAAGUACUUCUCCAUGAAUUUCACUAUUUCCAACUCAAAUUCCUCCAUGUAACUAUGAACCACUAAUUAAAAUCAUAAUUAUUGGUAAUAGAUUUUUCAAAAAACUAAUUCAAAAAUUUCAAGAAAGGCUUUCUUGAUUGUUCUCCUUCAAGCAAGGGUUUCAAGGCUUCUAUCAAUUUUUUUUCAUGAUUCUUCAAAAAACUUGUUCUUCACGUCUGUAAGGCUAUCAUAGUGUUGGACUAGUUCGUCCUCAAGCCAUACAUCUACUUUCAAAUCAGUAAAAGUGAAAACUAGGAUCCUACCCUUAGAUUUGAUUAUUCUUGAGCUAAGCUAAUUUUAAGUUUUUGAAUUCUUGAUUCUUUUGAGAUUCUAUUCCUAAGUAUUGAGUUUAUUUAUUGUUAUUGAGAUCUUUGAGGUUAUUUUUAAUGACUAUAAUUCAACAUGAACUAUAUUUGAGAUAUAAAUCUUGAGAAGUUCUUUCAAAGCCAACAUUUGAGUUUCUAAGGAAGUAAAUAUGAGUUUUGAGAAAAAGUUUAAAAGUUCUAUUUCAUGAAUAUUUUAAGAGUUUCUAAUGUUAUUUUAUUCAUAUAUAUACAUAUACAUAUGUACCUAUGUUAAUUAUUGGACUUUAAAAAAAAGUUUAUAAGUGCAUGUAUUCAAGAAGGUAAACUGUAACAUCUCAGAUUCUAGAUAAACUAAAGUUAAGCUAAGAAAAAACAAGAAUAAUUAAAUAUGGAAAUAAGUAAAGAAAUAUGAAAAAUUUCUAGAUUUCAAAAGUAAGUUUUGGUCAUUUUCAAAAGGCCAUAACUCCCAGCUCAGGAAGAAUUUGGAUGAGUUCUUUAUAUGGAUGGAAAGCUCGUUAAAAUAUCAUCCCAACAGCGCCAAGGUAGUAUGAGUGAGAUAUGACCUUCGUAAGAUGGGAUGUUAAGUAGUGAAAGUUUUGAAAAAUGGAUUUAGUAAAUGUGUUUUUUUCUUAUCCUUAAGGAAAUUAAUUAUUUCGUUUUGGAGUAAUAUGUUGGGGUCUAAACUAUUCUCAUUCAGUUUACGCACUUACAAAACAUUAACUAGGGUUUUGAAAGUAAGAAGAAAAGAGGAGAAUGAAGAAGAAGACGCAAGAACGCCAAGUUUAGCUUCGUGAAUCUUCGUUUGGGGUGAUUCCUAACAAGGUAUGUGGGCUCUUCUAUGUUGGAAUACUUCACCCACACACCAAUUUCAUUCAAAUCAGUCAAGUUCAUGAAUUAACUCAUGUUAGAGGUUGGAAUCUUGAAAGAAAAUUUGACGUUCUUGUUGAUUGGAUUGUUGUUGAUCGCUGUUAGUUAUAAUACAUGUUUUAGGAUUGUUUUCGGGUCUAAAUCAUUGUGAAACAAGUUAAUUAGGGAUGCUAAGUGUUUGGGGGUGGGAUCCAUGGGAGUUUUGGAAGGUUUAGAAAUGAAAAAAAAUGAAGAAAGUCGGAAAACCCGUUGGGGGGAUUUAGUGCGCCGCGUCUCCAAAGCCCCUUAGGACAGAGUCUGUCCGUCAGGAUCUAGUGGGCCGUGCCUCUCAGAGCGCCCGCGCACAGCCUUUGUACGUUCGGGUAUGGCGUUCCGCGCCUCUUAGAGCACAAGGACACCCUGGAGACCCCGUUCUUCCCCUAUCUUUUCAUACUAGUUCCUAAGUGAUGUACCAUUCAUUCCUAGAUGUUUCCAACACUCUUAAGGUAUAUCUAAACUUCAUGAAAUCAUCCAUAAACAUAGUUCAACUCAAGGAAAGUAAGGUCACAGUCAAAAAAGUUAAGAGCCAAGUCUAGAAUUUAAGAAACAAGUAAAACUAAAGUUUCUAAAGUCAAAAAAGUUAAGAGCCCAGUUUAGAAGUUAAGAAAAAAGUAAAACUAAAGUUUCUAAAGUCUUCCACAAAUGUUUUCACUUUGUUUUAAAGACUUAAAAUUCAAGUCAAGCAAAGACUUAAAGUUUCAAGUUAUGUAAAGAGCAAGAGUUGAGUUCAUUUGUCAAAAUCAAUAAGAGAACUAAGUAUUCCCUAAGAGUUAAAGUUUCAAUUCAAGUAAAGAGCAAGAGUUGAGUUCAUUUCUUUAAAAGAUAUAAAGGAACUAAGUAUUCCCUAGAGGUUAAAAAAUAUUUCACAUUUGAGUAAAGAGGGGAAAGAGAUUUUCCAAAAAGAGUUUUGAACUAAAAAGAGGAACAUUGAUUUCCAUAAGGAGCUUUUUAAAUCAAAUGGAUUCAGUAAAUUAUCUCAACCCAAAGGAAGGAAGUCUUAUUAAAAGUAUGAGCUAAAGUACUUGGGAGUAGUAUUGAGCACUGAUCUGGAGAUGUGAGUUCAUACUAACUUAAGUCUCCAUGUAAGCCAUUUCGCUAACAUGGGAAUUGACGUGUCAUACUUUUUAGAUGAUCACGUAAGAGAGCUAGUGGAUCCACUAAGUUGAGUAAGGUCCUAUACCAAUGGCAAUGUGUGGGAUGGUCCUAUUGAAACGUGAGGUACGAUGUUGUAUCAUCACUUAGACUCAUAGUGAUGGUUUUCGGUUAGAGAAACUCCCACAGUGGCGAUAUUAAUUUCUUAUAUAAGUAAAGUUGAGUUUGUUAUUGCAUUUCAUUUAAUGAGCUAAGUUGUUUUCACUGUUUUAUGAGCUUUAUACACACACACAUACAUAUAUAUAUAUAUAUAUAUAUAUAUAUAUAUAUAUAUAUAUAUAUAUAUAUGCAUAUUGCAUGUGAUUUAAACUACUUUAUAUGCAUAUCAUUUGAGUUAAGUAUAUUUGUGAGUUAAAUAACCAAGGUAAGUUCAUCUAAUUCCUCAAGCUUAAGUCAUUUCUUAGAUCUCCAACUCGCAUACUCGUACAUUCAGUGUACUGAUGCCAGUUGGCCUGCAUCAUUUCAUGAUGCAGACGCAGGUACCCAAGAUUAUCACGUAACGCUUCAUUGAUUCAAUAUUGAGCAUUAGAGUUGUGGUGAGCCUCCUUGCAUUCUGGAGGACAUCCUUUAUCAUUUUCUGUAUUAGCUUAGCUUCUAGAAUGUUGUGGGGUCUGUCCCAACAUCCCUCUCUAGAUAGUUUAUAGGCUUCGUAGUCUAUAGAAUUUUAGUUUGGAUUUUUUUCAGUUAUUAAGACUCAAGUGCCAGUUUGGACAAUAUUAUGACAUGACGUAUUUUCCUUUUAUUAUGUUUUUACUCGUGUCAAAGUUGAGGGUUGUUUUCAUCUAAUUUAAGUAGCUAGGCCAAGGGUUCGCUUGAGGGCCAACAAUUGUCUUCUAGUGCUGGUCCCAACCAGGGUAUAGGCUUGGGCAUGACAUAAACAAGAUAUCAUGUUUAGAAAAGUAUUUCAAGUAAUGUAACAAGUCCAUUAUUUGUAAUGGAAUUGAGUACAAAGUUUAUAAAUCUUGAGAAGUUUUUUCAAAGCCAACACUUGAGUUUCUGAGGAAGUAAAUAUAAGUUUUGAGAAAAAGUUUAAAGGUUCUAUUUCAUAAAUAUUUAAGAGUUUUUAAUGUUAUUUUAUUAAUAUAUAUAUACAUAUGUACCUAUGUUAAUUAUUGGACUUCAAAAAUAAGCUCAUAAGUGCAUAUUUUCAAGAAGGUAAACAAGUCUCAUGUUUAGAAAAGUAUUUCAAGUAAUGUAAUAAGUCGAUUACUCUGUAAUGGGUGAAUUGAGCAUAAAUUUAUAUUAACUAUUUUAGGAGUAAUAUUGAGCACCGAGUUGGAUUAGAGUAUUUUAUGAUUUUGAAAUCCCAUUGAACUACAUAGCUAGCGUAGGACAGGAUAACAUUUUGAUUCUUCAUGCGACUCCUCCGUUUCUAAGAAGGAUAAUUAGAUGGAUCCAUAGUCACAAUAUCAUUCUAUAUCCCGACAAAGUAUUAGAUGACCCUUACAACAUGAAGCAAAACGUUGUAUCAUUUCUAGGAUCAUGGUAAUGGAUGUGAGUUAGAGAAACUUCCCACAAGAAAAGUAUAUUAUUUUCAUGUUUCUUUCAUUGUAUAUUUUAUUGUAAUGCUUAAAUGGUUUUCAAUUUAUGUUUAUGUAUUCAUCCAGUUGAGUUGCUUUCUGUCAUUUAGUUUCGUUCUUUGUUUACUUAGCCAAAUUACAUACCCAUACAUUUCAUGUACUGAUGUCAUUCGACUUGCAUCCUUUUAUGAUGCAGAUUUAGAUGUUCAUUAUUAUCAAAAGAAGAUCACUUUACUCUCUAGUUAGCUCUGUUGAGCCUCCUUGUAUUCUAGAAGAUUUCACAAUUACUUUCCACUUAGUGUUUUGAGGUGUCAUGGGUCUUGUACCAACGUCCUUUCUAAUAGUAGUGGUUUCAUAGAUAUACAAUUUUGGAGAGUCUUUUAGUUUCAUAUAUUUUAUUUAAAGCUUAUAUUUCAUACUCACUAUAUCUAGUAAAUUUUUAGAUUCAAUAAACCGUUCUUAAACGUUUCUCUUAAUUGAUGCUUCUGUAGCUUAAGUAGUCUUUUGCUUGUAGUCAACCAAAAUGAGGGUUCACUUAGGAAUCAACAAUUGUUCUUGAGUGCUGGUCACGUCUAGGGAAUAGGUUCGGGUCGUGAAAAACUUGGUAUCAUAGUAUAGAGUUCAAGUGUCCUAGGGUGUCAAUGAAUUUGUUAGUAGGAUCUUCAUUAUUGUUGUGAGGGACAACAUUUUAUAAAUAAGAGAUUAUAGACGUUUAAGAAAAGUUUUCUUCUUUCAUACUCUAAAUCGUGCAAUAGAGCUGUGUCAUAAAGAACUUACUAUGACUCAUGCAUUCCUCUUAUCCAUUUGACUACCCCUCAUACUCAAGGUAGUUGACAAUCAAAGUCCGGAUCCUUAUGGAUGAGUUUCUUUUCGAUAAAGUCUUUAGAAAAGUCAAGAGACCUCAUAGGGUCUUGAGAGAAGCUUGUAAGUGAGCUUUAGUGUGGAGAUUCGAAAGAAUACACUUAUAGUUUAUCUGCAUCUUGCAUUCAAGAUAAAAGUGAGAUGUAUUUCCACACUUUUCCCCCUGAACCUCGUUUUAGUUGAGACCCUUAUGAGGAGAUAUGUUUUAGAACAUAGGUUGUAUUUUCGCCCGAAGAGAUAGUACGAGUUACAAUGUUAUAAGUAGUAGUAGUAAAAGUGGACUAAGUUAGAUUAAUGAAUGCAAACGUAUAGUAAUUACAAAAAAAGAUAAUGAUGAGGCAAACUAUGUUGUUGUAGUCAUGCACUCAGUAUGUUAUUAAUGAUGAGUUUUCCAUAGGUAGACUAAGAAGUGAUGAGUUUGUGUAAAUUUCAUGAUAGAAGGUAGAGUAAGAGUUACUAGUAUGAGUCAGUUAGAGUAUAUACUUUAAUCAAAAGGUUUUUUUCAACGGAACAUUGUGUUAGUGAAGGCCAAAUAUAGGUGUUGAAUAAAAGAGUAGAGUAUUCAUGAGGUGAUAGGUCUAAUCUAGGCUUAUGAUUUUUAAGGGAGAACCCAUAAUAUUCAUAGGUCUAAAAAACUAAUUAGACAAUGAUGUAUAUCUAAUGAAUAAAUACUACUUAUGUUGAAAUGAAAUGUGGCGGUAAAUUAUAAGUAUGAAGACUAAGAGGUAAAGAUUAACUAUUUUUCAUGAGGUCUUAGUAGGUCUGUGUUUCUUAAUUUUUUUAGUAGUUGUAAGUUAGAAUAGCUAGAGAGCAAUCAUGUUGACAUCCAGAAUUAGUAAUAAACAUAAAGCUUGAAUUUGAGAUGAGAGUCAUGGUAAAAAAUGGAAAAAUGAGGGUUUUAAUGUUAGUUUUGAGAUUUGAUAUGAUAAACUUGACAUAGAGUAGGAGAGUAGUUAAUAGGUUAGUGAUAAUAAAGGUGAGUGGUACACGUAUGAUAUUCUAACAUUGAGGUAAGAUUACUGAAGUGUGGCUAAGUCAUUAGAGUAACAAGAGUAUUAAGAGGUGUACCCGAGGUUGUACGUAACCAGAUGAAGUUCUAAUUAUGUUUCAUUUUUUCAUAUAUGAGUAGAUAAUAUAUUCGAGUCGUCAAUGUGGAAUAGGCUGGUGUAAGCAUUUUUUUCCUUAAGACUUAAAUGAAGCAGUCUGACAAGCCAAUGAAAAGAGGUUAAUGGAAGCAUCUUAUAAAGAGGUCUUAGAAGGAGUCUUACUACAUGCUUAUUGAGAGUUCAAUAACCAUAAGAUAAGUCUUUCCUGUGUAUUACUGUUAAGAAAUGUAGACCUUUUUAGAAAUAAUGGAAUAGAUCCAUAGCUUUAAAAUGACAACCUCAGACAUAACGGGGGAUAUUAUGACAUGAGAAAUCAAUUCAAGUGUUGAGGAUGAGAGAGUGAUGUUUUUCGAAUGAGUUUUAUAGGUCCAUCAAUACCUUCAUAUACUACGUGUUCCUCAAGGUUAAAUUAUUACAACAUGUUGUUAAUGUUUCUAAUAUAAAAUUUGUGUCUAUGACUUAUAAUUAUACACUUCAUAGAGUUUCACAUCUAUGCUCAGCUUCCAGAAUGAGGGACAAAAACUUUAGCCCAUUAACCUUGAGAUUAAUCCAUAAAGUUAUGGAUAUCAGCCUCAUUAUAUGAACUUAUUCAUAUUAGUAUUCAAGUUUCACAGUAUAUCUAGCCUUACAAAUUCAUGAUUCACUUUCAGUGUCUAGCAACAUAAUUUUGUGUCAUGCAUAUUUUUUUUAUAAGACAUGUGCUUAUGGUCUUUCGCCCUAAAGCUCUCUCAGUGAUCCUUUUUAGUUGAGGGUGUUGUUGUUGAUAGUAGUUGUAUGAAUGAUAGACAAGGGGAUUCAUAUUUCUUAUUUUGUUAGGGAUGAUGUGUUUAUUCCAUCUAAGUUUAUAAAUAUGAAGGAAGAAGGAGAAAAGGUUUUACGAUGAGCAAUGAGUCAUUUCCUGGUAAUAAUACAUGAAAGCUUAGUUGGUAGAAAUGAUGAGAAGUUCUUAGAAAGUGGGUUAGCAGGAUUCUAUAGAGUGGUUAUGGUUUUAAGCUUGAAUGUGGUGUUUUAAACCUGUGGAUAGUACUUCAUAUGUUAGGUGUCUUGUGAUAUGAGCUCAAAGUUAGUUGAAUGUAACGAUAAGGAGUAGUGUUCCUGAGAUGGGAUUUUCCACAGAGGUAUAGAACCCGAAGCAUGUGAUUUAGAUAAAAACAAUAACCAUAUAUUAAGUACUUGGUGAUUCCGAGUUAGAGUUGAAUAAAGUAAGAGUAACCCAUUUCCAUUCUCAGACCAUCUGUUAUUCGAGGAUGAAUGAUCCCAAGGGGAGAUGUUGUAACACCCAGAAAAUUUCUUAGUUAAGUCUUGAACCAUUCUUCAUUCACUUGUAGGAUCAUGAUUGGUGAUUCAUAAGGUAUUUAUAUGUGUAAUUGUAAAUUCUUUAUUCUGUGAAUGAUUUGGAUAUGGAUUAAGGUCACUAGAAUCCCUAGCACAAAGUAGAGUUGAAAGUUCCGUUUAUCGAUUACGUUUUGAUGUAAGAUUUUACUUGGGACAACUUCAAACGACAAUAUCUCCUAGAUUAUAAGGAGUUACAUGACCCACCACCUAUCAAAUUAAAGGUAUUUGACUCUAAUUUCCAAUUCCACAAGUUUUGCGUUAAUUAAAUUUCGGAGUGAGAAGGUAAGACCAUUUUAGUAACUCAUACAGUUCAGUGAUGAAUUAGCCAACAGGAAAACAUUUAAAAGAGUCCUUUUGCCUUUUUACCUCCAACGAAAUCCUAGAAAUUUUUUGACUGAUUGUAAGGCAAAAACAUUUAAAAGUGUCCUUUUGCCUUUUUACCUGCAACAAAAUCCUAGACAUUUUUUGACUGAUCGUAAGGCUAAAAAUCAGAUAUUUAUCUUUUAAUUCAUCAUUCUCUUCUCUUUCAAACCCUGGGGCAAAAUCGUAUAGAAGAUUCCAUCCAAAAUUCUUUUAAUCCUUUUCAAGAUUUUUGUUCAAGGUAAGUACUUCUCCAACAAUUUUGUCAUCGCCAACGCAAAUUUCUCCAUAAAAUUAUGAAUCAAUAAUGUAAAUCAUAAUUCUCAGUCAUAGAGAUUUGAAGAAAUUAAUUCAAGAUUCUAAAGAAAGGUUUUCUUGAUUGUUCUCCUUCAAGCUACGGUUUCAAGUCUUUUAAUCAAGUUCUUUUUCAAGAUUCUUCAAGAUUAUUGAAGAACCUUGUUCUUCCAGCUAUGUAAGACUAUCAUAGUGUUGAGCUUUAUUCCUUCUUACGCAAUACAUCUACUUUCAAAUAAGUAAAAGUGAAAUCUAAGAUUCUACCCUAAGAUUUGAGUAAUUUUGAGCUAAGUUGAUUUUGAGUUAUUGAAUUCUUGAUUCUUUUAAAAUUCUAUUCCUUUGUAUUGCAUUUCAAUAUUUUUAUUGUGCCCCUUGAAUUGAUUUUUUCAUGUCUAUAAUAUAGUAUGAAUCCUUUUUUGAGUUAUAAAUCUUGAGAAGUUUUUUCACAGCUAAUGCUUGAUUUUUAAACAAAUUUUUUGAGGAAGUAAAGAAUAGUCUUGAGAAUAAGAUUAAAGGUUCUAUUUCAUAUAUAUAUAUAUAUAUAUAUAUACUUCAAAGAUAAGUUCAUAUGUGAAUGUUUUCAAGAAGGUAAACAAGUGUCAUAUUUUGAAAAGUAUUUCAAGUAAUGUAAGAAUUACAUUCUUUGUAAUGUGUGAAUUGAGCACAAAGUUAUACUUAUUAUUUUGGGAGUAGUAUAGAGAACCGAGUUGGGUUAGAGUCUUUGAUGAUUCAGAGUUCCAUAGAGGUGCGUAACUACCGUAGAAUAAGAUAACAUUGAUUCUCCAUGCGAUUCCUCAAUGCGUCUGAGAAGGCUAAUUAGAUGGAUCCAUAGUCAUGAUAUCAUCCUAUACCUCAAAAAAGUAUAAUAUGGCCUGGCAACAUCAUGCAAAACGUUGUAUCAUUGCUAGGCUCAUGGUAAUGGUUGUCGGUUAGAGAAAUUUUCCACCAGUUAAGUAUAUUAAUUUCGUGUUGGUUUGAUUGUAUAUUAAAUUGUAAAGCUCAAAUGAGUUUCAAUUCAUGUUCAUGAAUUGAUUCAGUUGAGUUUCUUUCAGUCAUUUACUUUAGUUAUUUGCUUACUCAACCAUUUUAAAUACUCGUAUAUUUCAUGUACUAAUUGCAUUUAACGUGCAUCUUUUUAUGAUGUAGAUAUAGAUGUUCAUAAUUAUCAACAGGGCUGUUUUGAGAUCACUGUACACUCCAGUUAGCUUCUUCAUAAUUACUUUCGAGUUAGUAGUUUUGAGAUGUUGCAGGUCUUAUCCUGACAUCCUUUGUUAAUAGUACAAGCUUCAUAGAAAUAUAGUUUUGGAAAUUGUUUUAGUUUAAGAUAUUUUAUAUAAAAUUUAUGUUUCAUAAUAAGUAUAUCGAAUUAUGUUUUUGUAUUCAAUAAAACGUUUUUGACGUUU